rnacentral:lncRNA from 1 species
AACUCGGUCAUGUGACCCAAUCUCCGGGCUGAAUAGUUCGAGGGUUCUUAGUGCUUCCUGCGAGCAGAGGCGGAAGAGGAGAAGACGGCCGACCGUUGGUCCUCGUGAGGAGACCCUCGUAGCUCCUGCCGAGACCGUUGCUCUUCCCCACGAGACCGUUGGGCUUGGAGAGCGCUAGGCAGUCCCAGCCACCGAUGGAACAGAGUUUGUCCUGGACUUAAUGCACUUGAAGGCAAGGACCAUAGCUGAUUAUAGCUGAUUAUCUCUGAAUCCCUAUGCCUGACACGUGAGUUAUGUGAAGAUGUGAUGCCAAAGCUGUUGCAGCCAUCUUGUAGCCGUGAGGGGAUAAACCAACUGUGACUACCAGAUGAUGCAGAGGAAAGCCUAGUUCCUUUCUGUAAUUCUGCUGUAGAACCGAUCCUGGAACUGCCUGCCUCAGGACUUCUGGAAAGGAUCAACUUUCCAUUAAAGAAAAAAGCAAAGAUUCAAAUGGAACCUAAAUUUUGAGGAAGUUGGAUUGCUGUCAGAAUAAAUGACAUUGGCACUGGAGACAGCAUCUUCCUCAUGAACAUGAACUUGAUAUAUGUUUAAUGUCUAUGUGAAGACAAGCUUCCUGCCCGAAUGAAACCCCACAUAGCGUGGGAAACUUGUGGUCAUGGUGAAUGCCAGUACUGCCCGAAGCAGGCCUCAAAUCACAAGUAUCAGAGACAGGUCAUUUCCUGCACUCACACACCAGAAGGUUACACAGCCUGCAGGUAUUAACUCAAGGCAUCAAGGUAGCAAAACAUUGGUUUUCAGGUAGUGGAGCCACUUUGCUUCCAGUUGAAGAAGUGGAGUCUUGGCAGUCACCUGCACACAGACAAAACUGGAGAACUUGAAUGCCUAAACCUGGACAUUGUCAUAGUAGGUUCUAAAAUUGUCUUCACAUGUUUCCCCCUUAAUCCCCACGACAAAUCUACGUCAGCGAGUUAGUAGAAGAUUCAGUGACAUGGGUUUGUCAAUGAUAGGGGUUCAUAGUGAGGAUAAAUAGGAAAAUCUACGUAGAAGCACCAAGUCCAUUUCCUGCUGUGUAAGUAAGAAAAUUUUUUUACUGUGCAGAUGACAGAAAAACACAAGGUAAGUUUAUUUUUUAAGAAUUUUAAACUUCUUAAAUGUUUUGCAUGCAUUCUCAUUUCAGUAGUCUUUGGUCAGUAAUUCUUGACUUCAUUGGGGGCAG